AGGCCUAACACAUGCAAGUCGAGCGGUAACAGAAAGAAAGCUUGCUUUCUUUGCUGACGAGCGGCGGACGGGUGAGUAAUGCCUGGGAAUAUGCCUUAGUGUGGGGGAUAACUAUUGGAAACGAUAGCUAAUACCGCAUAACGUCCUUGUUCAUUACGAGCGGGACCAAAGAGGGGGACCUUCGGGCCUCUCGCGCUAAGAUUAGCCCAGGUGGGAUUAGCUAGUUGGUGAGGUAAAGGCUCACCAAGGCAACGAUCCCUAGCUGGUCUGAGAGGAUGAUCAGCCACACUGGAACUGAGACACGGUCCAGACUCCUACGGGAGGCAGCAGUGGGGAAUAUUGCACAAUGGGGGAAACCCUGAUGCAGCCAUGCCGCGUGUAUGAAGAAGGCCUUCGGGUUGUAAAGUACUUUCAGUCGUGAGGAAGGCAUUGUAGUUAAUAGCUGCAGUGCUUGACGUUAGCGACAGAAGAAGCACCGGCUAACUCCGUG
rnacentral:rRNA from 1 species